CCAGCGGACCUCUUCGGAGGUCAGCGGCGGACGGGUGAGUAACACGUGGGCAACCUGCCUGUAAGACUGGGAUAACUCCGGGAAACCGGAGCUAAUACCGGAUAUUAUGUCAGACCGCAUGGUCUGACAUUCAAAGACGGUUUCGGCUGUCACUUACAGAUGGGCCCGCGGCGCAUUAGCUAGUUGGUGAGGUAACGGCUCACCAAGGCAACGAUGCGUAGCCGACCUGAGAGGGUGAUCGGCCACACUGGGACUGAGACACGGCCCAGACUCCUACGGGAGGCAGCAGUAGGGAAUCUUCCGCAAUGGACGAAAGUCUGACGGAGCAACGCCGCGUGAGUGAUGAAGGUUUUCGGAUCGUAAAACUCUGUUGUCAGGGAAGAACAAGUGCCGGAGUAACUGCCGGCGCCUUGACGGUACCUGACCAGAAAGCCACGGCUAACUACGUGCCAGCAGCCGCGGUAAUACGUAGGUGGCAAGCGUUGUCCGGAAUUAUUGGGCGUAAAGCGCGCGCAGGCGGUUUCUUAAGUCUGAUGUGAAAGCCCCCGGCUCAACCGGGGAGGGUCAUUGGAAACUGGGAAACUUGAGUGCAGAAGAGGAGAGUGGAAUUCCACGUGUAGCGGUGAAAUGCGUAGAGAUGUGGAGGAACACCAGUGGCGAAGGCGACUCUCUGGUCUGUAACUGACGCUGAGGCGCGAAAGCGUGGGGAGCGAACAGGAUUAGAUACCCUGGUAGUCCACGCCGUAAACGAUGAGUGCUAAGUGUUAUAGGGUUUCCGCCCUUUAAUGCUGCAGCUAACGUAUUAAGCACUCCUCCUGGGGUGUACGGUCGCCUGACUGAGACUCAUAGGAGUGACGGGGCCAGCACAAUCAGUGGAGCUGUAUGUUUAUCAAAAAAAUCCAAAGAAAAAUAC
rnacentral:rRNA from 1 species